rnacentral:lncRNA from 1 species
AUGUAUACAGCAAGUGCUCAUAACUCCACUGAGCUAGGACUGAACACAGCCGCCCACAGUGUUUUGGCUCCAUGUUUUAACUGCCUCACCAUAAGCUGGUACAAGCUGUCCCAAGAAUCAAACUCCGGUCUUCACUACCUUUAUCUAUUCAACCAUCUUGCCAGUCCCCGUUCAGUUCUUUUUAAGAUACGCUGUGCUCAAAGAGAUCCUGAUGAGUUAAUCAGAGCCCUUUGGAGAGACGGCAGGUCUGCCGAUGCUCUGUGUCCAAUCCCAGUCAUCCUGGAACAGAGAAAGAGACUGAGUGUGAAUGCCCCAGGGAGCAGUCGGGGCAGGAUGGCACGAGGAGAGAGAAGAAUCCACCAACUGAAACUCAGAUUGCCUGGGCUGUAAUUUGUGGCGCUGUCACAAAGGGGUCCUUUUCCGCAUGGUGCGCAGCGGUGAUGAGCAAGCGCUGGGCCGAGGGUGUGCGCUUCUCUCACACGCUCUCUAGCGAGCUGCAGGACUCGUAAAUAGCUAAGUAUAGCUUGAAGCUGAUUACAGGCCCGAUCCUCCUAUUGUGCCUCAUCACUUGUCAUUGUUGAGGCGGCAAUUGCCGCUCGACGUUUCUCUUUGUGGCUGGCUGCAGCCGGUUUCCAGGACAGGAGGAGCCCGGAGCUGCCGAGACUGGUUCUUCCCGCCGGAUGGGCGUGGCAGGUGUUGGCGAUGAGAUUAAGAGCAAGCUCCCAGGAUAGACACCUGUUGCCCCAGAAUUGCUGUUUAUGCACGAUCUCUGUCCAUGGGGGGGUGACAGGAGUCUCUGAGGCCAGGCUGGCUCUGGGAACAGGAGCAGGCAGUUCGAUUUCUCUGGCUUGGUUUACUCAAUUGUAGAAAGGAGUUGUAAUAUUUAAUCUCUUACUCACAAAGUACAUUUGAGGACCUGUGAAAUAAGUAUACAAAUAUCCUAAAAGCAGGUAUAGUCCCCUACAGACUCAAACAUCCACCUUCGAAUAGGUAUAUACCCACAAUACACAGACUAGCCAUAGAACCCACCUGUGUACCUUAUUGUAAUGAAUUUGUUCAUGCAUGCAUGUGGGCGUGGUAUUAGGACACAGCUGUAUAGCUGACUGUAACAGUGACCACUGCCAUCUUUAGGCUUUUCCUGUAAAUCGGGCACCAUUUUGAGCUCUUCUCCAGCACCAAAGCAAAGCUCCCAACAAUAGCAGUAAUAGUCCUGGAAUGGGGCACUUCUUCAUCUUUGGGGACCUUCCUCGUCCUGUGUGCUGUAUGAUUGCCGCCAGGGAUCUGUCUGUACCUUCAAUAUCUCUACUGCAGUCACAUGACAGCCUCAACUCCCUCCCUUUCCCUGAUGGCAGGGAGGGUGGGAAUGGUAAGAAGAUGGUAGCUGUCUGGG